rnacentral:tRNA from 2 species
UGGGAGGUCGUAUAACGGUAGUACGCAUCCCUCUGGAGGAUGCUAUCUUGGUUCGAAUCCAAGCCUCCCAGCCC